GGUGACGCUACGGACUU
rnacentral:tRNA from 1 species